rnacentral:lncRNA from 1 species
CCACCAGAUCCUUAGCCUGCUGAGCCACCAGGGAACUCCCCUGAAGGUUUCUUGAUGGCGCUGCUACCCCAACUCGGUCCAGCAUUUCAGUCUAGCAUUUCCUUCUCAUCACGGCUCAUGAUAUGGCUGGUACCCAACGUGGAUGGUCACAAGGUUCAGUUAUGCUUUGUAGGGGCUUCCUGAUUUGCCCACUUGGUUUGGUCUCCAAGGAUUUAUCUUCAUCCUCUGAGAGCACCAGGGGAGGGUUCUAUCUCUUGAUCCCUUCCCUCCCAGAGCAAAAUGACCUGGUAGAGAACUAACCUCUUUCCCUUGUAGAUGGUACCUGGAAGGUAUUUCUCCUUCCUCUAUCUUUUUUUUUUUUUUUUUAGGGCCACACCUGCAGCAUAUGUAGGUUCCCAGGCUAGGGGUCGAAUAGGAGCUGCAGCCACCAGCCUACACCAUAGCCAUAGCAACACCAGAUCUGAGCCGCAUCUGCAACCUACAUCACAGCUCACGGCAAUGCCUGAUCCUUAACCCACUGAGUGAGGCCAAGGAUCAAACCUGUAACCUCAUGGUUCCUAGUUGGAUUCGUUUCUGCUGCACCACGAUGGGAGCUCCCACUCCUUCAUUGAGAGAUGACCCAGGGAUUUGUGUAUUGAUGGUGUCCUUUCCCCAGGGGAAGCUCAGCCCCCCACACUUUAAUCCUUAGCUCUUCACAGUUUAGAAAAGUUCCUUUCUUUCUUUCUUCCUCCCUUUCUUUCUUCUUUUCUGUUCUUCCUUCCUUUCUUUCUUUUUCUCCUUUCCCUUUCCUUCCCUCCUUCCUUCCUUUCCUCCUUCCAAACAUAGGCAGGAUGCUCUUUGACAUAAAUCACAGCAACAUCCUGUUUGAUCCACCUCUUAAGAUAAUAUCGAUGAAAACAAAAAUACACCAAUAGGACCUGAUGAAUCUCAGAAGCUUUUGCAUAGCAAAGGAAACCAUAAAAAACCCCAAAAAGACAAUCCACAGAAUGCGAGAAAAUUUUUGCAAAUCAUGCAACCAACAAGGGCCUAAUCUCUUUCUUUCUUUCUUUUUUUGGUUUGUGUCUGCAGCAUGCAGAAAUUCCUGAGACAGGGAUCGAACCUAAGUCACAGUAGUGACAAUGCCAAAUCCUUAACUGGUAGGCUACCAGUGAAUUCCCAGAAAAGAGAUUUCUAACUGGCAACACUUGGGCCAAAUCCAGGUCUCAGAUUUUAUUUGGCCCCACGGUUUUGUUUGUUUGUUUGUUUGUUUAUUAGUUGCUGACAUUUGCUGACAUUUUAUUUUCAGUCUCUCAGGAUUUAGAAAACAUGAAGCCGUCACUUAAAGUCAGAUACUCCAAGGGCUGUGGCCACGGCAUAUGUAGGUUCCCAGGCUAGGGAUCGAAUCAGAGCUGUAGCUGCCGGCCUACACCACAGCCACAGCAACUCGGGAUCCUUAACCCACUGAGCAAGGCCGGGGAUCGAACCCAAAUCCUCACCGACACUGUCGGGUUCUUAACCUGCUGAACCCCAAUGGGAACUUCAGUUGCUGACAUUUUAAAAUGAAGAGAUUACUGAGGGAAAUCCAGAUUUAUGGUUUAUCUUGGAAAAUGGGUGUGUUUGGCAACCUGAGGCUUCAGCUUAGCAAAGCCACCUUAUGAGGCAGGACUCAGCUCCCAGCGCACUCAGUAGAGCACCCCAACCUCUGAGGCCAGAGCCCAUUGUACUUGACUUUUGAGGAGCUGUGUGCUCUGGCCCCUCACCUGCUCACGCCCUUCCCUCUUGACCUCAUAUCUUUCAACAUAUUUAGAUUGACCAACCAGGACCCUUUUGAAAGUGAAAGAGAGUGUGAUCAGUAAUUACCCUGGGAUUACCUAAACAUGACCUGCUGGGGACAGAUCAGGAUGUACCCGUGUCACCUCUGCUCUCUCACAUCCUGGUCUUUGCCUGGUCCGUACCCUCUGACCAGACUCAGUCCUCCCCUCCUUCACCUGACUCUUGAUUUAGUUUGAGUGUCACGUCCUCCAGAUCCUCCUGACUCCCUGGCUGAGAAAAGCUCCAUCCUUCACAUGUUGUCACAGUAACCCAGGUCUCUUCCUAUGGACACUGUCCCUUCCUGGAGAGCAGGAACCCCUAGGACAGUAUCUGGAACAUGGAACAAGCAAUUGCUGAAUACACGUGUUGAAUAAAUGAAUGAAGAGGCGUGGGUUGCCCCAGCUUCCUGCCCUCUAUCAGAAGACCGAGCUCUCAAAAAGUCUGUCUCCCUACAUCCCAACACAUUGCUUUGGGUCCCCUGAGUAUCUGACUCUAUGCGACGACUUCACACUUUCUAAAUCCUGAGAGACUGGAUGUACGAAUGGACAAUGGGUAGACACAGCACUCUGACCCUGCAGUCUGCAGCAACCAGGUCACAAAAACACCUUGUCCCCUAGUGUAACCAGUUCAGGGAGCCAGCCUGCUACUUGUGAGCCAAACUUGUAGCUGGUCAGACCACUAUCUCUAGCAAUCACUUCAGGAAGCCAAACAAUUACCUCUGUAAUUCUUGCUCAAAAUGACCAAGACUUGUUCGAUAAUUGACAGCUUCCCUCAUUUUUGUCCCUGCUUCUGACUUAGGACCAAUCAGAGAAAGCCAGGUCCCUCCGCUAACCAAUCAUGGGACGUCCUGCUUCUAGAUAGCCCGCCUCCAGAAUCACACCCAGAGAUGGCCUCCAAUCAGGACAAAGCAGAAGCCUCCCCUUUUCUCCGCUGUAUCGCUUUCCCACUCCUCUGCCUGCCGUCGAGUCUCCAAAACACACGUGAGUGUGGCUGACUCCCUUGCUAGAGUAAAUUCUAGCCCAGCUCUGUCUUCUCACCUCUGUGGGCUGCACCUAUGGCUGGGAUCUGAGGGCUGCGAGCCUUUGAUGGGAAAUCUGAGUGCUCUCUCCUGGGAAAACCAAGACAGGGGUAAAGCUUGGCACCCACAACUUCAGGCCCACCGCUCUUACUCUGAGCACCUCGUUUCUGCUUUUUCCUGUUUCUCAAAGAUUGGUUUUCACUUCCCCUCUUUCUCUCCUGGCUCUAUUUCACAGAAUUUAGGUACACAUGGAGUACGAUGUUCUUUUUAUUCUAGGGAAAUGACUUGCCAGAGGUGGGAGUUUGAGCAAAGACAAAUCCUCUCUUAGGGAUUUUUGCCAGCGGACGUGAACGCCCAGCUGGUGCUUCUUCCUCUUCCCUCUUCCUUCUGGCACAUCCCUCCUCCCCCACCUGCAUGUUCGCUGUGUCUCCCUGUUCUGCUCCCCCACUUAAUUGCUGCAGCCUUAGCUCAACCUAAGUAAAUGCCUGUUUUAUCCUAAGUUUGCCCCAAUUCAAGUUAGUUUGCUUCCUAGAGAGGCUGGUUCUGCUUUGUUCUAAGGGAGCCUUCUGAUUUAUGCAAUUACUGGGCAGUCUCAGGGGGGUCUGGGUUGACUACACAGUCUAUUAACUUCAAAUCUGUGCAGACGCCCCCUGUGUGAGCCACCCAUCCACCUGUCUGUGCGCAAACGACCUGCCCUCCCAUCACCCAUCCAUCCACACACCCAACAGCAGUACCUCCUUCAGGUCUGACCCCCUCCUUGGAGAGACAAGGAGAAACGGGUAUCUGCUCUCAGCGAGCUCCCACCCAGAGGGUGUCACCUUUUAUUCUCCGCUAAGGAAGAUGGAUCAUGAACCCCCCCUCCUCGGCCCCAGCUUAUAAUCGCAGCGACUGGCAGACGGCAACGAGUGCUCUUUCCCAGGGACAUAGCUGAGUGCAACAGUGACUGAGAUGGGAGCUACUGCAUCUUCAACAGAGACUCGCUCCCUUGCCUGGGGUCAACGCCGCCUUUCUUUAACUUCUUGUGCAUGCACCGGGUGUUGAUGGGGUGCUUCCUGUGCAUCAGGCGCUGUGCUGGGUGCUGGGGAGCAAGGGGCUAGGACACAGUCCCUACAUUCACGAGGUCUGGAGUCCCCACCCAAAUUCCUGGCACAUCAGGUCAUUUCCCCCCCUCCCCCAAAGAAAUCUUCUGAGAGGCACCAAAGCAGAACUAAUCACUUCCUCCUUCAGAUCUCUCGGGUCACUGUGCUGUCUAGUAAAACUUCAGUUCGAAUGCACGAGAAUACUGUCUGCCCUUUCGGGUAUGGUCUCCUCAAGGGCUGGCACCCGUUCCUGCGUGUCUUGCUUCCCCGGCAGCCGGUCCACAGCCUGGGUCAUGUGAGCAGCCCCUACAUACAUGGAUGAAUGGUUGAGUGAAAGUACGUUCCCCAGGCAGAGAGAAGGGCUAGAGGGGGGAGUAAGAUCAUCCGCCUGUGGCUAAGAUUCCAGCACUUUGAAACCCAGCCUCGCCUUGUAACAGCUGGGCAAACAGAGGCAAAGGACUCAACCUCUCUGUGCCUCAGUUCUGCAUCUGUAAAAUGGGAUAAUAGCAGCCCUCUUCUCCUAGGGCUGUCGUGAGGAUCCAAUGAGCUGAUAGAUGUAAAAUGCCUAAUGAUAAUAAUACAGUGAUAUAAUAAUGAUAUAAUAAUGAUAAUAACACAGUGGAAAAUGAAGCCGAGGACCUACAAAGACCUUUUUUUUUUUUGUUUUGGCCACACCCCUGGCACAUGGAGGUUCCCAGGUUAGGGGUCGGAUCAGAGCUGUAGCUGCCAGCCUACACCACAGUCACAGCAAAGCC